rnacentral:rRNA from 1 species
CCUACGGGGGGCAGCAGUCGAGAAUCAUUCACAAUGGGGGAAACCCUGAUGGUGCGACGCCGCGUGGGGGAAGGAAGGUCUUCGGAUUGUAAACCCCUGUCAUGUGGGAGCAAAUGAAAAAGAUAGUACCACAAGAGGAAGAGACGGCUAACUCUGUGCCAGCAGCCGCGGUAAUACAGAGGUCUUAAGCGUUGUUCGGAAUCACUGGGCGUAAAGCGUGCGUAGGCUGUUUCGUAAGUCGUGUGUGAAAGGCGAGGGCUCAACCCGCGGACGGCACAUGAUACUGCGAGACUAGAGUAAUGGAGGGGGAACCGGAAUUCGCGGUGUAGCAGUGAAAUGCGUAGAUAUCGAGAGGAACACUCGUGGCGAAGGCGGGUUCCUGGACAUUAACUGACGCUGAGGCACGAAGGCCAGGGGAGCGAAAGGGAUUAGAUACCCCUGUAGUC